ACGAUCCAGCACGCACUACGCACAGGAGCCGAAACGAUCGCGCGGCCGCCGCCCGCCCGCCGAGUCACACGCACGCACGCGGACAGACACGAUCAAUCUCCAGCAGCAGCAGGGACUCCAGCGCCCGCGCCGCCGUCCGCCGUGGCUCCGCCCCCGGCCCACCCACCUUCUGCUCCCGGGCUGUAGAUCGCCCGUCGCCGCCGCCCUCCUGUUCGUUGUUCGCCUGCGUGGGGCUGCUUCAUUGCCGGCUGUGCGGCAGCUUAAAAAGAAGAUGAAGAGAUUUUUUUCACUGGUGUCUGCAACGGGGCUGUCUAUACCUAUUAUUUCAGAUGAAGGGAAUCAAGCGGCCGAGGGAACUGAAUCAACACCAUAAACAGGAACAACUGAUGUUUAUGCCUCGUCGAAGUGGUGUUUGACUCUUCUUCCACCGCUGAUGAGGUUAUGCGAGGCACUGAUGAAGCAAACCAUUGAUUUGGUACUCUUUUAUCAUGUACUAUUCUUAGAAG